AAACAAGCCAAGAGACGCAAACAUUAAAGACCAAUGCCAUCUCAAAUCCCCGCAUGGGAAUACUUCGUCUGUCACGACUGUCCCUGGGAAUCCACAGGAGGUGAACUGAAUAAGAUUAGACUAUUUACCCCAUCAACUCUCCAUCAAAGAAGGUGAAAGCAGCACCGCGGGACACGAGUGGGCACCGGAGGAGCCGCGGCGCUGGCGGAGCACACACCGCCCCGCCCGGGCCCGCCGGGCGCUCGGCUUCCCAAAGACUUUUUUGCUCU